GGGGUAGACGCGGCACCGCACCUCCAGCUCGAGGGUGGCUUCUCAGCCGGCGCCGCUGUGGGUCCCGCCGGUUACCGGAGCCUUGCAACGGGGCAGGGCUCGCCAGGCCGUGCAGCUGCGCUGGCCCGGCCCCGCCGGUACCGCUGGCUUGGCGGCUGCUUCUCAAGUUACGUAAAGCGGGGCGAGCGCGGCCGCCCGCGGGCGGAGCUGCGGACCCUCCGUGGCGGGGCCUGGUGGGGCCGGGCGGCCGCGGGCAGCGGGUCCCCCCCGCAGCGGGGCCGUGCCGAUAGCUGGCCCGAGGGGGGCUACGGGGUCUGCGGCGUUUCAUCCCUUUCAGAGCCGUUAACUCGCAGGCAUUGGUGGGCAGCGCAGACACAUCCUAGUGUGGAACUCCGGGGGCGGGGGGGGAGUUACCUUCGGUUGUUUGUAAUUCGGUAACGGGCUCCCUGGGGCAGGGAGCGUGUCCCCCUCCGCGUGCUUGCGUGUGUGUGCGAGGUGUGAUAAAUAGGCCCCGGUUUGAGUUCAGAAACAGGUGAAAUACGUUGUUAAGGAGCUAGAUGGAAGUCAACACAAAAUUACUAUUUUUAAAACCUUUUGUAAAACCUAACUCAGCAAAGUGCCUCUAAGUAUUCUACUAGUUCUUCAGGUGACGUUCCAUUGGUAGCACUUGGAUCCUAAACAACAGAGGUCAGGCGGUGUUGUCCAGAGACACGGUAUAUGUAACCAGAGCACAGAUAGUAUUGCAUAGCUAAAAGUCUACUGAAUCCAAUUAGAACUGUUAAGUAAGUGUUGUUUGGUUUGUAAUCGGUUAUCCUUGAAUCGCGUGGCUUAUAUGUUUCUCAAUGAACAUACAAACCAUUAGCUUAAAAGGGUUUGGAAUUGCGAUAGCUGCAAGCUGGAGGCAAACCCUUUUAAACUGGUUUUGUUAUGACCUAUUUGCUUCACCCACAAAGAGGGAGGUGGCUGUUGUAAACGCCCAGUAAGAUAAGUUGGUGUCAUGCUGUUUAGUAGGUAGGAUUCCUGGGACUCUGUCCUAUCCUGUUUCAGAUCUAGCAGUUCAGUACCUCCAGCAAAUGUGCCUUUUUAUUUCGUUCUUAACUUACAGUUGGGAAUCAAACUAAACCAAAUACAGAUUCUGAACAGGAAACAAAUUUUGCACAAGAAGUGAAGUAAGUAAAUAUCUAGGUAAGAGAGUGCGGUCACUGGAUUAUCUUCUAGGUGUUGUGAGCAAUCCGUUUGUUCUGAAAGUUUGUGUGGUGCAAUGAAUCUACUGGUUUAGUGCAGUGACAUGUGACACCAGUCCAGGGUGAAGCUUGUGUAGUGGCACACUGUGUGGCUAAAUCUUCCCUCCUGGCUUCCCUCCUGAUGCAAGCGAGGAGUUAUAUGGCAUGUCUAAAAGUUGUUUUUCUGUUAAAUUAUUUUCUGUUCCUUUUAUUGCAUGAAUUGGCAGUAAACUUCUGUGUUCAUAGAAAAGGCUUGAGUCCUAAGGUUGUGACCUUCGUUUGAGCAUUGCAUUCUUUCUCUAAAGUUUAGCCUUCACAGACUGCAAAUUAAUACAGUCUUAAACCCUCUUGUGAUUCAUAGCAUGUAAACAUUUUAGAUAUUUGGAAAUUGUGAUACUUUCAUGGUUUAAGAUGGAUUUACAUACAAAUAUAUGUGCAUAUAUAUAUAUUCAUGAGUCUAGUAUGUUCUAAUGUAGUAUCUUUGUAUGUUUCUUUUCCUGUGUUCUUGGUGGGGGGGAGGAGGGUAGAAACCAAACAAGUAACACAGUGUGCCCUUUGCUUCCUUGACCUGACGUUUCUGUUACUCAAAGAAUACUCUUCUGUUACCUUUCAGAGUUACUGGAGUCUGGAUGUGACACUGGUAGUAUCAGCCCCUUUUAUUUAUCUGUGGAUCCUUUGAUUUGUUGCGAACCUGGACUCAACUGGGUUCUGUUUAUAGAGAUUUAAUCGCAUGCCUCCCAGGAACAUAGCUGGGUACUGUUCUUGAAAAGAAGAGAAAACAUGGCUUACACAGUGAAUAAACCUUGAACUCCUGGACCAGAAACUGUUUUUUUUCUUUUUUUCAUGAAGGAUGGCAACACCAUACGUUCCUGUUCCUAUUCCUAUUGGAAGUUCAUCAUCCAGCUUUACAAACAGAAACCAAAGAAGUUCUUCUUUUGGGAGCAUCUCAACAAGUUCCAGCUCCUCAAAAGGACAGCUGGAGGACUCUACAGUUGGUAGUUUUAAAAAGAUGAGCGUGCCUGACCAGAUUGGUUCUACGUCAUCUGUGUGUAGUAGUCCACUUGUUAGGACUAAAUUUACGCGUAUGGAUACAUCGAUAGAAUACUGUACUCAGCCUGUAGAAGAAAUGGAGCAGAAUACAGAUUCCAGGAGCUGGGAAGAUCGACCGUCCACGCCUACUAUACUAGGUUAUGAGGUGAUGGAGGAAAGGGCAAAAUUCACUGUGUACAAAAUACUGGUAAAAAGAAGUCCAGAGGAAAGUUGGGUGGUUUUCAGACGGUACACUGACUUCUCCAGGCUUAACGACAAGCUAAAAGAUAUGUUUCCAGGCUUUCGGUUGGCUCUUCCCCCAAAGCGCUGGUUCAAGGAUAAUUACAAUCCUGACUUCUUGGAAGAUCGACAGUUGGGACUACAGGCAUUCCUCCAGAACCUAGUAGCUCACAAAGAUAUUGCUAACUGCCUUGCAGUGAGAGAAUUUCUUUGUCUGGAUGAUCCUCCGGGUCCUUUUGACAGUCUAGAAGAGAGCAGGGCUUUCUGUGAAACUCUGGAGGAAACAAAUUACCGCCUACAAAAAGAACUGCUUGAAAAACAAAGGGAAGUUGAAUCGCUGAAGAAAUUGUUAAGUGAAAAGCAACUUCAUAUAGAUGCUGUUGAAAGAAGAAUUAGGAAAAAUGACUCGUCAAAUGUCAGGAGAAGAAAGUGAGUGCAGUGGCGAGGUGGAGUCUUCUGCAGUUGAAGCAGACCAGGGUACCCUGGGUGAGGACAGCUGCUCAGAUAAAGAGAAUCAUGAGACAUGCUGGAGUGGCUCUUUGGCUGAAAAUUCUGUACCAGAAAUCGAAGUCGCUGAAGUAGCGUAUACUGCUGAUGAAGAAUAAUAGAUCAAUAGCAGCUGUUGUUACCUGGGAAAGGUUCAGGUGUGGGACAUACUCUGUGGGUAGGGGCAUAGAGUAGCUGUGAAGAAUUUACAGCAAAGAGCAAGAAUGCACAUAUUGAAUGUUUACAUAAAUCCUUACAAAUUAUUAACGUAAUAAAUAUACCCCGUGCUGCUUUGAUUUCAGUUUUUAUCUAGCCUUUGUAUAUUUAAUAUAUUAAAGUCUAAUAAGGGCUAAAAUCAGCUGAAGUUUAGGUAGUGUACAAACACAAUUUGGCUGACUUUCGUAGCAGACCGAUGAAAGCUUCACAUGAAAUCGCCAAACGCAUCUAGCAUGUCAUAGUUGCCACUGAUGUGACACAUUGGAUGUGUUCAUCUGUUUAUUUGUGUUUUCAUAUUCUUAUAGCCAUAAAUUAAUGCUUGUUGAAGUAAAAACGGAUUCAUCUUACAUUUAAUAAGAGUGUAGAAUGACUUGGUUUUAAAUUCUGAAGUUGAAGAAUAUUUCUCUGGAAAUUUUAAUGCAAUGCAAUAGGAAAACUUAGAGUACCAAGAGAAGAGUAUUUAUGAAAAUGGAAUUGUAGAUGGACAUUUUUUUUUAAAAAAAAAAAAGGUCACUUUUGCUGAAGGAACUAAUAUGAGACCCCCAAAACACUGUGUAUUUUCAUCCCAAGAUAGCACGCUGUAAUACAUCUUGUUCAGUAAUGCUGCUUUGAAAAACUGGGAUACCUUUGCUAUAUACCCAUGUAACAAUAAAAUUGGUGAGUUUGCCUUUUACUUGGAACACUACCUCUUACCAUCUUGCUAAUGCAUUCAUGUUUGUUUAAAAAUGUUCCAGAUUAUAUGGAGGUUAUUGAAAGACUUGUAAAGAAGCCAUAUUUUUUUCUGCACAGUUCAUAACUAGAUUGAAUCUAGUUGCAAUGUAUUUUUGUUUCAAUAUAUUGUACACGUGGGGAUGUUGCUCCAUAUGUUAUAUAGCCUAUUUUUCAAAAUGUAUUAAGACAGGAGAUGCACUUUAUAAUUAAGAUUCCAUUGUGCCAAGUUCAGUUGGCUAAUUGGUUGAGAAAGGGGAGAGUUGCAGGGAGAGGAUUAUGCAGUGCCUUUUUGUAUUCACUUGUUCAUUACUGCAGAAUUUUGUUACAGUGCUCUGGGUCAGUUCUGUGGAAUCUUUUGAUACAGCUUGUUUCUGUUCUUCACUUAUUUACUGAAAGUGCCUUGUUUUAUUCUGCUUUUCUAAUAGGAAGAAUGUUGUUUUGUUUUAAUUUUUUUUCCCCCACCCUAUACCACCCACAACAUUGUUUAAUGUUGUCAAUAUGCAGUGUCUUUGUGCUGGAGUUUUCAAAGGGAGCUUUGUACUUCAGGCUGUGCAUACAAUGACCUUUAUGCAGAACUGUAUAAACCUUCCUGGUGAAAUAAAACUAUGGACAAAA